AUUGAACGCUGGCGGCAGGCUUAACACAUGCAAGUCGAGCGGAGUGAUGGUGCUUGCACUAUCACUUAGCGGCGGACGGGUGAGUAAUGCUUAGGAAUCUGCCUAUUAGUGGGGGACAACAUCUCGAAAGGGACGCUAAUACCGCAUACGUCCUACGGGAGAAAGCAGGGGAUCACUUGUGACCUUGCGCUAAUAGAUGAGCCUAAGUCGGAUUAGCUAGUUGGUGGGGUAAAGGCCUACCAAGGCGACGAUCUGUAGCGGGUCUGAGAGGAUUCUCCGCCACACUGGGACUGAGACACGGCCCAGACUCCUACGGGAGGCAGCAGUGGGGAAUAUUGGACAAUGGGGGGAACCCUGAUCCAGCCAUGCCGCGUGUGUGAAGAAGGCCUUAUGGUUGUAAAGCACUUUAAGCGAGGAGGAGGCUCUUUUGGUUAAUACCCAAGAUGAGUGGACGUUACUCGCAGAAUAAGCACCGGCUAACUCUGUGCCAGCAGCCGCGGUAAUAC
rnacentral:rRNA from 1 species